UACGUAGGGGGCAAGCGUUGUCCGGAUUUAUUGGGCGUAAAGAGCGUGUAGGCGGUUUGGUAGGUCCGCUGUGAAAACUCGAGGCUCAACCUCGAGACGCCGGUGGAAACCAUCAGACUAGAGUCCGGAAGAGGAGAGUGGAAUUCCUGGUGUAGCGGUGAAAUGCGCAGAUAUCAGGAAGAACACCCGUGGCUAAGGCGGCUCUCUAGUACGGUACUGACGCUGAGGCGCGAAAGCUAGGGGAGCAAACAGG
rnacentral:rRNA from 1 species